AUUGAACGCUGGCGGCAUGCCUUACACAUGCAAGUCGAACGGCAGCAUGGAGAGCUUGCUCUCUGAUGGCGAGUGGCGAACGGGUGAGUAAUGCAUCGGAACGUACCGUGUAAUGGGGGAUAACGUAGCGAAAGUUACGCUAAUACCGCAUACGACCUGAGGGUGAAAGCAGGGGAUCGCAAGACCUUGCGUUAUACGAGCGGCCGAUGUCAGAUUAGCUAGUUGGUGAGGUAAAGGCUCACCAAGGCGACGAUCUGUAGCGGGUCUGAGAAGAUGAUCCGCCACACUGGGACUGAGACACGGCCCAGACUCCUACGGGAGGCAGCAGUGGGGAAUUUUGGACAAUGGGGGCAACCCUGAUCCAGCCAUGCCGCGUGAGUGAAGAAGGCCUUCGGGUUGUAAAGCUCUUUUGUCGGGGAAGAAACAGCAGCUCUAACACAGUAUGCGAAUGACGGUACCUGAAGAAUAAGCACCGGCUAACUACGUGCCAGCCGCCGCCGUAA
rnacentral:rRNA from 1 species